rnacentral:rRNA from 1 species
UACGGAGGGUGCGAGCGUUGUCCGGAAUCACUGGGCGUAAAGGGCGCGUAGGUGGCGCAGGAAGUCAACGGUGAAAUUCCGGGGCUCAACCCUGGCAUGGCAUUGAAUACUGGAGGACUAGAGUACCGGAGAGGAAACUGGAAUUUACGGUGUAGCAGUGAAAUGCGUAGAGAUCGUAAGGAAGACCAGUGGCGAAGGCGAGUUUCUGGACGGUAACUGACGCUGAGGCACGAAGGCCAGGGGAGCAAACGGG